UGGGGAAUUUUGCACAAUGGGGGAAACCCUGAUGCAGCGACGCCGCGUGAUUUAGAAGGCCUUCGGGUUGUAAAAAUCUUUUCUAUGGGAAGAAAAUGACAGUACCAUAGGAAUAGGACCGUCUAAUUACGUGCCAGCAGCCGCGGUAAUACGUAAGGUCCGAGCGUUGUCCGGAAUCAUUGGGCGUAAAGGGUACGUAGGCGGGUAAGCAAGUUAGAAGUGAAAUCCUAUAGCUCAACUAUAGUAAGCUUUUAAAACUGCUCAUCUUGAGGUAUGGAAGGGAAAGUGGAAUUCCUAGUGUAGCGGUGAAAUGCGCAGAUAUUAGGAGGAAUACCGGUGGCGAAGGCGACUUUCUGGCCAUAACCUGACGCUGAGGUACGAAAGCGUGGGUAGCAAACAGG
rnacentral:rRNA from 1 species